UACGGGAGGCAGCAGUGGGGAAUAUUGCACAAUGGGCGCAAGCCUGAUGCAGCCAUGCCGCGUGUAUGAAGAAGGCCUUCGGGUUGUAAAGUACUUUCAGUCGUGAGGAAGGUGUUAAGGUUAAUAACCUUAGCAAUUGACGUUAGCGACAGAAGAAGCACCGGCUAACUCCGUGCCAGCAGCCGCGGUAAUACGGAGGGUGCGAGCGUUAAUCGGAAUUACUGGGCGUAAAGGGCACGCAGGCGGUUAAUUAAGUUGGAUGUGAAAUCCCCGGGCUUAACCUGGGAAUGGCAUUCAAGACUGGUUAGCUAGAGUCUUGUAGAGGGGGUAGAAUUCCAUGUGUAGCGGUGAAAUGCGUAGAGAUGUGGAGGAUACCGGUGGCGAAGGCGGCCCCUGGACAAAGGCUGACGCUCAUGUGCGAAAGCGUGGGGAGCAAAC
rnacentral:rRNA from 1 species